CGGUAGAACAAAAAAUUAAAAAUCUUGAAAGUCAAUUUGCAAGAGAAGUAAAAAAAAUAAAGAACAGCAAGAAAUCUGGCUCUGGUACGGAGGAUGUGGUUUGCUUUUGAAAGUAUGAAAUUUUUACUAGACAAAAAUAAGCCGAGGGAGAUGUUGGAUUCACAGGUUUUAUCAGGGAUGGGUGCAGUGGAAGAUGCCAACGAUGUGGAUAAUACUGCUGAUGAGCAUGAGAUUACUCAAGAUGCCAUUUUAAAUACUGGAGAAGGCAACUCUGAAGACUCUACGAGGAGUAAUGUAAAUGCUGAUAAUGUUAAAAAAGCAAAGGAUACUUUAACUACAUAAAAAAAAACAGUUUAAGUCGCCAGCUCUUGGCCACGUACCUUCAAGAAAAAGGAAAUGCGAAAACCCAAUGGUCAAUGAAGCCUACGAGAUAAUGACGCAAACAUUAGCGACAAAACAAUCAAAGGAUGUGUUUACCAUAUUUGGCCAAGAAGUGGCUGUGACAUUGCGAAAUUUGCCCACUACUUAUGCUCAAGCUACAGUGCAACACAAAAUAAGCACACUUCUGUUUGAAGCAAAAUUGGGAAAUUACAAUUAUCCCGUAGCACAACAACAACAGCAUCAGUAUUUUUCUCAGGCUCAGCAACAACACUAUUAUCCUCAAUCUCAGCAUUCUCAGCAACAGCAAUAUUUUACCAGUACAGCAAAUUCAGGUGGCUUACUGACGACCUUACUGAUGCAUUCCCCGGAAUCAUAUUCCUCAUGCUCUCCUUUUAGCAGUCCCCCUACUUCGGCACAAUCAACUACUGCCCUUACAACUGAUGAAGAUGAAGCUGCAGAUCGUUUCAUCACCCAACUGCAAUCUCCAGGAAGUCAUACCUCAUAAGCUCGGUCAUAAGUAUAGAUAUGCGCACAACUAUUCUCAUUUAGGGUUUAAAUAUUUAGUUUUGUUUUAGUUAUAGUUUAUUUUUACUACUGUUGUGCUUAUUUAUUCUUUAUUAUGGUUAUAAAAAUUUGAUUUAAGAAGUAGCUUUAACUAUAUUUUCAUAUUUUCAUAUUUAUAUAAAUCUCGUUAAAUCUUAAUAAAUAAAGUGCUUACCUUAA